CAUGGGUUGAAGAUGCUGUUAUUCGCUACUUAAAUCGAAAGCCAGCUGCAGGAAGUGAUGCUCCUGGAAGCAUGUGAGUGGGAAGUCAUCUUACUGCUGAUCUGCCAGUUUACUUGACUUCGAUUCUUUCACUUAGCAUCUGUAUAUUUGCAGCUUCGCUUUAAUGGAAGUGUGGUUAUUUCUGAUCAAUCUAAUUGUUAAGGGCCUUGGGAGGGAUACCUCCCCUUGUUUGUAAAACAACAGUUGUGGUUUUUAGCUUGUUAAGGCAGAAUUGUCCUCACACU
rnacentral:misc_RNA from 1 species